GAUGAAGAACGCAGCGAAACGCGAUAUGUAAUGUGAAUUGCAGAAUUCAGUGAAUCAUCGAAUCUUUGAACGCACAUGGCGCCUUCCAGUAUCCUGGGAGGCAUGCCUGUCCGAGCAUCGUUUCAACCCUCGAGCCCUCGUGGCCCGGCGUUGGGGAUCUGCCACGGCAGGCCCCGAAAUACAGUGGCGGACCCGUUAGGCCCCUCCUUUGCGUAGUAGCAUCAGCCUCGCAUCGGGAGCCGGCGGGCUCUCCUGCCUCUAAACCCCCCAACAAGCCCGCUCCGGCGGCACCAAGGUUGACCUCGGAUCAGGUAGGAAUACCCGCUGAACUUAAGCAUAUCAAUAAGCGGAGGA
rnacentral:misc_RNA from 1 species